AAUUAAAUAUAAUAAAUGAACAGAGAAAGUUACCCUAAUUUCUGGGCCGACAAGCUUCCUUCUCUAUUAUAUGGAUGUAGCUCUUCUUGUUGUUCCUCAGAUUUAGAAUGGAUAUAGGUUUUGUUGAUCUCUGGUGUUUGUUGAGAAUUGAAGUUGAUAUUUUACUGUUAAGUGUAGUAGCAGCAUCAUCAAAAUACAACAUAAGCAACUGCGAAGAUUUUGUAUGGGUUAUAACCAAAGACGACCUUUUGGAAUUCUUUCCUGAGCAAGCUGAAUUCUUCAAUAAGAUGAUCAUUAGCUGAGUCACUCUCACCAGAAUAUUACUAUUUUAAUCCUUUCUGGGAUCAAGAGCAGGAAGAAGAGGCAAGACAACCAUGGUUAAGGAUCCACUAGUGGGAGGAGAAAAAUUAAUAACAAGUUAGUGAGGGUCUUGAGAUUUAAAAUAAUAUUAAUUAAAACUUAAAGACAUCAUCAAAGUAAAACUAAUGUGGAUGCUCAAUGGUAGUUGACUUGUAUUAUCGUCUUUUGAAAAAUAUAGCACAACGUCUCCAAAUCAGAGUCGUAUGCUUUUCA